AUCGAACGCUGGCGGCAGGCCUAACACAUGCAAGUCGAGCGUGCGGCGGACGGGUGCGUAAUGUAUGGGGACUGCCCGUUACAGGGGGAUCACUGCUGGAAACGGUUGCGAAUACCGCACACUAUCCGCUUCCCCAUAUGGGAUUAGCUAGUAGGUGAGGUAAUGGCUCACCUAGGCGACGAUCCCUAGCCGGUCUGAGAGGAUGAUCAGUCACACUGGGACUGAGACACGGCCCAGACUCCUACGGAGGCAGCAGUGGGGAAUAUUGCGCAAUGGGCGAAAGCCUGAUGCAGCCAUGCCGCGUGUAUGAAGAAGGCCUUAGGGUUGUAAAGUACUUUCAGUCGGGAGGCGUUACCGAAAGAAGAAGCACCGGCUAACUCCGUGCCAGCAGCCGCGGUAAUUC
rnacentral:rRNA from 1 species